rnacentral:rRNA from 1 species
CCUUAGUUACCAGCACGUUAUGUGGGCACUCUAAGGAGACUGCCGGUGACAAACCGGAGGAAGUGGGGAUGACGUCAAGUCAUCAUGGCCCUUACGGCCUGGGCUACACACGUGCUACAAUGGUCGGUACAAAGGGUUGCCAAGCCGCGAGGUGGAGCUAAUCCCAUAAAACCGAUCGUAGUCCGGAUCGCAGUCUGCAACUCGACUGCGUGAAGUCGGAAUCGCUAGUAAUCGUGAAUCAGAAUGUCACGGUGAAUACGUUCCCGGGCCUU